rnacentral:pre_miRNA from 1 species
AAUCUACUCCCUCCGUUCGGAAUUACUCGUCCAAGAAAUGAAUGUAUCUAGAUGUAUUUUAGUUGUAGAUGCAUCCAUUUUUGUGACAAGUAAUUCCGAACGGAGGGAGUAAUAC